rnacentral:rRNA from 1 species
UACGUAGGGUGCAAGCGUUAAUCGGAAUUACUGGGCGUAAAGCGUGCGCAGGCGGUUUUGUAAGUCUGUCGUGAAAUCCCCGGGCUCAACCUGGGAAUUGCGAUGGAGACUGCAAGGCUAGAAUCUGGCAGAGGGGGGGUAGAAUUCCACGUGUAGCAGUGAAAUGCGUAGAGAUGUGGAGGAACACCGAUGGCGAAGGCAGCCCCCUGGGUCAAGAUUGACGCU